AACAAUAAGAGAUAUAAGAAUCACAUUCAUUAGUUUGGAUUAAUGGCUUUCAUUGUGCGAAAUAGCGCGAAUGAUUCUGCCAAUGCCACAUACACUGGAGAAGACACGAAAGAAUCUUUGAUUUCCUAACUUGUCAUUAUGACAGUUGUGAGUUUCACUCAUACUUUUUUCUAUUGUUAUUUCGUUAUUAAUUUUAAUUUUAUUUGACAUUCUUAUAUGCGUGCUGAAUACAGUUUUAAAAUUUUAGAACAUAUGGUAUGUAUAAUAAGCUUAGGUUCGGAUUAUGAAGGUGACACUUACAUAACAUUCCAUUAAAUUUUUGACUUAAUUACUGUUGAUUAAUUUAUUACUCUGUUUUGACGGUUGAGAAUGUAGUGUUUGUAAUAUUCAGUGUUGUUCUUAGUAGCUAAUUGUUAAUGAUUGAGACGACCUUUAGAGUGGCACAAAAAAAUUUCUGAAAAUAAGUUCUAAGUAACUCGCAUGAUAUUAAAAUCACAAUCACAAAAAAUAUAUAAAUAAAUGAAAAAAGUUUGCAUAUAUUAAAAUAUGCCGCUGAAGAAUUAAAGCAUAUUUUUUUAUUAUGUAUGUAUGUACUAGCUAUUACUUUGUCAGUCAAGGGUUUGGUUCCCGGUCAUGGCAAACGUUUAUAUGGACUGUACAGAUGUUUGCCGUGGUCUGGAGAAGAAAGAAAUUUUAAUCCGUGGAGAGUUGGCCGUUUAUUUAUUUAAACUACAGUUGUUUUGUUACGAGUGAUAGUAAAAUAAUAAAUAAUGCAUAUAAAUGUGAUAAAUACGAAUGACGAUCUGUAACAUUCCGACUAGUUGUAGAUCUAUAUAAUCGAAUCGUAUGUGUAAUGGCGAGGACUAGCUAGGUUAGCUAGGUUAGCUAGGCUAUAUAAUUAAUGAAUUUGUACUGUGAACGAAAUAUGUACACGCGUGUCGGAUCUUGGAGAUAUUAUUAAACUUAUAUAAGUUUUUAUUAACUUGUGAUUCAAUGUGCAUAUCUAUAUUUUCAUUUGUAUUAAUAAACUUAAAGUUUGAGAGGCUCAUUACGACCCGGUUCCCAUAUUGAAAGAAACACAGCAGUGGCUGGUGCACUAGCAGUCGCGGGUUCGAUCUCCGCGUCUAUCUGAACAAACAUUUGUGUAAGCUAUACAGUGUGGGCGUUCAUGGUGUUGUGUGUGCUUACGACACAGCAGUAAGGAACAGGAUAAUUGGGCCUCGAACUGUGGAAAAUGUGAUCCGUUUAACUUAACUUCCUUAUGUACGCUUGACUUGGGGAGUAAGCUGGUGAAUGCGUGACUAGAGCGUUACGAAAAGUGUGAUCGGGCGAAGCAAACGGAAGUUGAGAGGGAUUUAUAAGAUAGAUGGAGCUAAAGAAGUUUUACUUCAGUCGUGUGGUCUAAAGCACACUCGUUUUUUUUUUAAAUUGAAAUGUAUUUAUAUUUAUAAUAAAUGUCUAGGCGUUUUUUCUUUAUACCUGCAUUUGAAAAAAAUCUUUCAGUGCGUUAUCAAGGUAUAUGUGAUAAAGAGUUCUCUGAAUAGCUAUGUAAUAGAACUUUUGUGAUCGAAUAAUCUCUGGAUCCGACAAGUAUAAAUCUAGUCAUAGAUAAAAUACAAAUAUUUUAAAGGGACUUAUUUUUUAAUGUGAAUGAUGUGUGUUGUGCUUCUUUGUAGUUUUAAUUAUUAAUGUCUGACAGUUUUUUUUUUUAUUUUAUUUGCUUAAAGGGUGCGACCUUGUCUAUAAUUAUAUAUUGACUGAUUAAUUUUAAAUUAAAAAAUAUUAUGAUAAAACUUACAUGAACAAAGCUUACUACUAAACAGCUUUCGGAAAGCUUAUAUCAAACUUCUCUAAUAAAACCAAAGACUAUAUAUAUCUUGUUUUUUUGGAAUUGUCCUAAUUGGUAAACAAACCGCUGUCAAUCGUAAUUCACGUUUUUUCCGCAUUUAUCAC
rnacentral:misc_RNA from 1 species